GCACAGGCAAUUCUAUAACAUACUAAAAGUUAGUCCAAAGGUCUGUUGGUGCCUAUGAGGCUAAUAAUCAGUGUUACGAGAACAAGUCCUCCUGCCUUAAGGUGAGAAUCCCCCCAGGGGGCUGCAUGGAUAUAACGGCAGAAUUCAUGACUUUCUGCAUUCCCUUUAGUUUUAAAGGUUCCGAGUUCUAGAAGUCUUAAGUUUGUGUUCCUGAGUCCCUUCCUGGUUCCCCUGAGUCCCUACCGUGUUUCUGUACUCCAGUCCCCAUCUUACCUUUUCAGACUUCUGGCUUAUUUCAAGGACUGGUUUCUGUUUGCUGCCUGCCCUGACCACUGGCUUGUUUAACAGACUUGUCUCACAGGUUAAUUCUUAUUUAAUUUUUCUGUUCAAUUAUUAUUCAUUAAAGCAUUUAUCUCUUAUGUGUAGCGUGAGUUGCCAAACACAUAGGCUCCUGCUUGCUAGCUACA